AACAUCCGGUUUGAAUACAUGUGUUUUCUGACUUUUCGGAUAGCCAACUCUUGUUUUUUGGAACUUACGACUUAUGGCAAGAGAGAAGAAAACUGUGUGACGUUAAAAGAAACCAGUGAGAUAAAAUCAUAGAAAAUGUAUGAUGAUUCAGGAUGUGGUCAUUUGUGACAUUAAAACAGGAAUUGUCAUCACCAAUAGACAAAUUUCACAUUCCUAAGAGUUUUCUCCAAUUGUUGGCGUAUUGCUCAU